rnacentral:rRNA from 1 species
CAGCCGCCGCGGGAAUACGUAGGGUGCGAGCGUUAAUCGGAUUUACUGGGCGUAAAGCGUGCGCAGGCGGCCCGUUAAGGCAGGUGUGAAAUCCCUGGGCUCAACCUAGGAAUUGCGCUUGUGACUGGCGGGCUCGAGUACGGUAGAGGGGGGUGGAAUUCCUGGUGUAGCAGUGAAAUGCGUAGAGAUCAGGAGGAACACCGAUGGCGAAGGCAGCCCCCUGGGCCUGUACUGACGCUCAUGCACGAAAGCGUGGGGAGCAAACAGGAUUAGAGACCCCAGUAGUCCCUGUCUCUUAUAC